rnacentral:siRNA from 1 species
CAUCCAGUACGAGAAGAUUGA